GUCCCCGUAGCUCAGCUGGAUAGAGCACCAGAUUCCUAAUCUGGGGGUCACAGGUUCAAAUCCUGUCGGGGACGCCA
rnacentral:tRNA from 1 species